UCCGUAGGUGAACCUGCGGAAGGAUCCCGUAGGUGAACCUGCGGAAGGAUCAUUA
rnacentral:rRNA from 1 species